rnacentral:rRNA from 1 species
CUCGACUACAUGAAGCUGGAAUCGCUAGUAAUCGCGAAUCAGAAUGUCGCGGUGAAUACGUUCCCGGGUCUUGUACACACCGCCCGUCACACCAUGGGAGUCGGAUAUGCCCGAAGUCAGUGACCCAACCUUUUGGAGGGAGCUGCCGAAGGUGGAGCCGAUAACUGGGGUGAAGUCGUAACAAGGUAUC